AAGGUAGCGCUGUGCGCAUUUAUAAUUUUUAUAAAAUAUUAUAAAUAUUCUAUAUAUCGUUAAAAAAUUUUAAAUUCAUUUAAAUUUGAUAAAUCCUAGAUUAUUUGUAGUUUUAGAAAAUUAAUGGCGGUAGCUACCUCUGCUUUAAACCCUUUCUUUUUUCAGGAAAAGGGCAUGGAUACUGUAAAUAGUUCAAUAAUAGUAUCAAAUAAAAUUAUUUUAAUAUAAUAAAUAUAAUUUAUAUUGUUAAAAAUAGAAAUGAAGAAAUAAAACUGUCUGGUCUUGGAAAUACUGAUAACAUAAGGAACCACAUCGUUGGAUCACGUAUCACGUUUUGCGAGCACUCCUUUUAUAUCCUACUGGAAAUAGAAUGUCACUCUCUGUAGAAGAUCUCAGCUCUUCCGAGUUGAUGGUUAUGUUUUCGUGCCAUUUUUCUAUUCUUCUUACAGUUAUUUCAUCCGGAAAACAAUAUCAUGAUUCUUUCAAAUAGUAAAGGAAACCAAUGGCGUGCAUCAGUUCGUGUAUCACGGUACCUUUCUUCAAUAAACACCCUGGAACCUGAAGAUUCACGUCUUGUUUACCACCGAUUCUUCCCACGCUGCUCCAACAACCAGUAUUGCCAGCCGUGAUCCUGAUAUAAUCGCUCUCCUCACCGGUAUAAGAUUUUCAUAAAUUUAUAUCUAUCCUGAAGUAGAAUUAAAAAAUAUUAUCAGAUUAUUCUGUUAAUUUUUUUUUUUACAAAGAAUUCAAAAUUAAGGAUAGAUAAAUUAAAAAUAAACAAAAUUAAGAAUAAACGAAAGGACAAUUAUACAACAUGGACAAUACUUUUCUCAAGGAAAAUUUAAAUCCAUGAAGGGCUAAUCAUAUACGGCACCACGCCACCAGGCCACCGUGCAGCUUCCGCUUUAAGUCCGUUCUUGCCGAGCUGAGGCGGAAACAGGAUAUCACCCUCCGCAUAGUUACCCAACUCUUCCGGGUUGCGGUCCCAUCCCUCG